AGGGCGGCCCCCCAGCACCCGGUCCCGCCCGCAGCCUCCGCCCGAAACGGGGGAGAGGGGUUGGCAGCCCGGGGAUGGGCAGCGGAGAGGGGUGGGGGGCUGGCGAGGCGCCGCCGGGCAGCCCGGGGUAUCCCCCUCUCCGCUGUCGGGUCCUCGCGGAGGUGUCCCCUCGGAGGUGUCCCCCUGCCCGGGGGAUGUCCCCGCAGCCCUGCCCGGCUCGUUGAUGCCCUCAGGUGGGAGCCGUGGUGGUCAGCAAGCCGCCCGUGGCCCUGCUGCCCCCCGGGGCUGAGGAUGGAGGCUGGGCGCACACGGCCCCGCCGCCACACACAUACCCGGGCCUCGGGAGCGCUGCAGGGACAGCGGGGGACACCCGGGUGGUUUGCCAGGGCAAUAAAUAAUCCUCACGACCAAAUACUUACACAUUUCUCGUUUCUUCCUGACACCUUCUGUGAGUAAGUCCAGUACUUAAUGCUUUGCUUGAACCUGAUGUUGUGAGCAUCAGGAUGACAAUGCAGCCAUCCGUGACACUAAUGCUAUUUAUACUGAUAUUCUCAGUCAGCAUUCAACUAAGCACCAGCUCAUAAGUUGCCUCCUUGAAUGAGCAAACCCAUCUUUCAAACCCUCAGGACCUCCAGAUAUCUGCUCUGGAUCAGUUUGCAAAAGGCAACCCCAGCAACAUGACUCCGAGCAGAGCAACCAUUCGUCAAGACUUACAGCUUUGAGCUGGCUGCUUGUUGGGAAAGUUUCUGUGACGCAGAGAGAGUCAGACCUCAACUGCAACUCAAGCACAGAGGCAAGAUGUUCCACUGAAUCAGAGAAUAAGGAAAUAGAAAUGCUUGUCUUAAAGGAUAAACGCUUUCGUGCUUGCCCUUAGGCUCUCAUUCGCUCCGCAAGUUGUCCCUCUCCAGCCAGCAGUCUCCACCCUGGCCCAACCUUAAUUCUUGUUCUCAGAGAUUUGACUUUGCUAUCUUAUCAAAUCAGCUUCACGGUACUACAGAUGUUAUUUUCUGGUGAAGGUAAUUUUUAGCCUUUUUUGUCCUUGCAGAUAACCGGUAUGUAACUACACUGCUGUGCCGCACACGGGCAUGUCUGCCAGUCCACCAUGCCUGACGACUUGUAGCUCUGAUUUUAAUCAAACUUGGCAGUUGGAAUAGAUCAUAAACACCCAACAUGCGUGCUGAAACAAGCCACUGGGGUGCAACAGCGUGAAGGUUCGCUGAUAUGUGGCGAGACAUUCGUGGCAUUAAAGUACGAGGAGCAGUAGGGAGGUUAUAAGCCCCAUCACCCCCAAAGAGCAGCAAAGUCCUUGAGGGGCUCAGCAGGAUCCAGGACAGGACAUGAAUAUGUGCCAAAGCAGGGUUUGCAGGUGCCACAGCCAGCAGGAGGAUCCGCAGAAGUCUGGUCUGUCCCUCCGUGCCCUGCCAGUGUCCUUGUGCUGCCCAUGGGGGUACCACACAGUGCCCACACGGACAGGCCUGUGCACCCACCAUGGUGGUACGAGACCAGGGGGCAAAUCCUCAGCCCCUCCACAGCCGUGGGUCACCGCGGCCUCUGAGGUGUGCGAGAUGCCAGGGAUGUCAAAUCAGUACUGGCUCUGCAGAAAGAAGCCCCGGGGGAGGCUAGACAAUAAGCUUUAUCUACAAUUCGCAAUGGUCACUACUCUAAAUAAAGGCUUGAAAUGGGUCCAGCCUUGCAGAGUGCAAGAUUUCAUGUCUGAUGGCAUCUUGCAAACCUGGAAGUCUUUUUGCACGUGUCCUGCCUAAUUUCUACCACUGAAAGAGUGGGCGAUGCCACCUGCCACCUGCUUUGCCUCCUGUGGGCUCUGCUGGACACCGAGGGCAUCCUGCACUUGUGACAAGUAAAGUGUGUGAGCCUGUAUGUACUUACAGCCCCACGGGGUGAAUUUCCCCCUUUUCUUUCAGUUGUAGCCAGUCCUGUGGCAAAUGCACUUGUGCAUCUUUUCAGCUGGGUAGUGUUGAGCCAUGUUUGAGAUCCUAUUUUGUGUGCUCACCUUGGGGGAGAAGUGGGGAUGCUCCUCUUCAAGAGGCUCAGGGGAAACCUGCUGGAGAACAGGCAGGUGCCUGCAAAGCUUUGGUGGUCAAGGGGUGCCAGAGGAAGAACUCAUUUCACCUAUAGAGAGACUCGUCAGCCAGGAGCCAUAGUCUACCAAAAGUUGAAGUGAAGGGCAUCCAUCAGUCAUUAAUCUCUGGCAUUUUUAACCUGAAUGGCUCCUUUGCCUGGGUUAGCUGUAGCAGGGUGCACAGCAGUGUGGCUCAGCCCGAGGCCUGGUGCCAUGCACUUCCCUGUCUAGCAAGCAAAAUAAGUUAAACGGAGCUUGCGAAAGCCUGGCUGCAAAGCCAGCUCAGGCUGGGUCACUGCUGCACUUGGUCAGUUCCUCAUCAGGCUUAUCUUCUGUUGUUUUGGCUAGCUGCUGUAAUACUCCUAUAGCAUACAAAUCAAGUUGUGUGUUACGGCAGUGUAAACGUAAAUCCAUUACAAGGGUGCUUGUCAUUAUCAGCAGUGCAUUUCUUGGUUAUGCACUGUGUUGCCUCCUGAGACAGAGAGCGACCGGCGCAGCAGCUGUCCAUAGGUGCCAGGACCUGGCUCUGCUGACGAACAGCCUGUUUUCCAGAGCAGAAUAUGGGAUGCAGGUUGGAUGGAAAGGUGUGGUUUGGUGCCAAUGGCUGGCCUCAUUUCACCUGACAGCUUCACAAAGGAGAAAGUUUGCCUUGGCACUGAGGCUGCUCAAAAUCAAGCUGUUUGCAAUGCUUCUGGUGCUGCUGUGGUCCAUCAGCACAGAUGCAGAUGGCUGUAAUGUGAGGGUAAAAAAGGAAAGAAAAAAAAAAAAAAGAAAAAGCAGGAAUCAAAAAUCAAUGGAGGAUAUUGCUUUCUGAGCCUAAAUAAUGUGCUGUGUAAACAGCAAAGUUCACUGCAAAUUUUGAGAGGAAUAGAAACCAAAAGCCACAGGAAUGUGCGGGAAGAAUGAGAAUGGUUUUCACGGUUGCUGACAAUGCCCUUUUGUCUGAUGACGUGUGAGGUGGCUCCCUCUGGGUGUUCCUGGGUACAUACCCUGAGGAUCUGGACACCCAUCCCUGACGUGGGAGCACUGGGAAAUGGGAAAGUCAACACCGCCUUUACGCUGCCAAGGAGCUGCAGGGCAGUUGCAAAUCCCCUGAUCAAAUUCAGCCUCCUUGGCCAGCCGCUCCUUGUCACAAGGAUCUCCCAGGGGACCUGGGAGGGAUGGGUGUCCUUGGAUGUCCUCGGCUCAGGUGUGAGCCACGGGGGACUUGCGACCAGCUGUGGUGACUGGUGGGCAGCGAAGACAGGGGAAAAGGUGGUGUGAGGAUGCUUCCCCUCAGCCUGCUGCUUCCCCAGCUCCUGUGGCCGGGGCUUGGUGGGAAUCUCUGCCUUUCUCCUGCUAGGAAUCACCUUGGCCCUUGGCCCUCAGGUGGCAGGAACGGGAGCGGCUGGGAGCGGUUGUCCCUGUAUUCAUCUGGCCUUGUGCUCGCAGCCCGCAGUGUCACGGGGAAUUUCUGAAUCACCGGAGGAAUUGCGAGCGUAGCUCGCUGCCUGCCACGUGGGCGUAUUUACCCACAGCAGCCGGGCAGCAGGGAGGCGGCUGAGGCUGUGGGAUGGAUCCAGCGGGUCCCAUUUCCCGGCCGGUGGUGACGGUGGCUCCCCUCUGGGUGACGCAGGGUGACCUGCG